rnacentral:lncRNA from 1 species
AAGUCAGUUGGUGACCAGGUAGAUGGACAUUAAACAUUGGGGAUGAAAACUCGAAUUGCUGACAAGUUUUUGGUGUGAGCAUCACAUCUCAACAACUAGAGUGAAGAAAUAAUUAUCUAGGAUGGCAAUGAAACACACUGAUCCUACAUUUAUAAUAUGGAUAAAAGAAGAAAAAAAAGACAGGAUCAAAAGUGGAUUUUAGUUGUAAACUCAGCCAUGGCAGCAAUACAAUGAAUCCACUGAAUGCAUCCUUCAUUUGACAGUGAGACAAACCCAAAUACAGUUGUCUUUCCCAUGAAAACUGCAGCUCAAAUUUUAGACAUACACCUAGUUCUCCCAUUUUAUGCUAAAAUCUGAUGAGAAAUCUUGUUAGACAGAGGUGAAUGGAUGAGCCAAUGAAAAAUAAAGACAAGGACUGCAGUGGGAGAAAGAAAUCAGCCAAAGACUGAAUCCUGAUACAGAAAAUAUAAAGAACAAAUGGCAGCAAUUCCAAUUUUAAGUAAAUUUUUAUAUGGAAAACAUUUUCUUCCAUGCAAUCCCAAAUCACAAAAUAAUGAAAAAUUCUCAAAAGUUUUUACUGGAAUACUUUUAAAUUUGUAAGUGCUGA